UUCGAUCAUGGCUCAGAUUGAACGCUGGCAGAUCUUUUACAUGCAAGUCGAACGGCAGCACGGACUUCGGUCUGGUGGCGAGUGGCGAACAGGUGGUAAUGUAUCCGGAACGUGCCCUGGUAGCGGGGGAUAACUACGCGAAGCGUAGCUAGUCCACCACCAUCGCCCUUCGGGGAAAGCGGGGGACCUUCGGGCCUCGCACUGGCAAGGCGACCGAUAUGGAUUGGCUGGUGGUGUAAAGGUGGCAGCUGCGCAAGGCGGCCGAUCCGUAGCUGGUUUGAGGACGACCAGCCACACUGGGACUGGACGCGUGGGCUCCUACAGGAGGCAGCGGUGGGAAUUUUGGACAAUGGGGGGAAACCCACAGUCCAGCCAUCCCGCGUGUGCGAUGAGGCCUUCGGGUUCUGUCGGCCGCUUUUGGCAGGAAAGAAGCGGCUGGGAUAAUACCAUUGCAACUGACUGUACCUGCAGAAUAAGCACCGGCUAACUACGUGCAACAGCCGCGGUAAUACGUAGGGUGAAGCGUUAAUCGGAAUUACUGGGCGUAAAGCGUGCCGAGAGCGGUUCGGAAAGAAAGAUGUGAAAUCCCGAGCUUAACUUUGGAACUGCAUUUUAACUACCGAGCUAGAGUGUGUCAGAGGGAGGUGGAAUUCCGCGAUGUAGCAGUGAAAUGCGUAGAUAUGCGGAGGAACACCGAUGGCGAAGGCAGCCUCCUGGGAUAACACUGACGCUCAUGCACGAAAGCGUGGGAGCAAACAGGAUUAGAUACCCUGGUAGUCCACGCCCUAAGCGAUGUCCGGCUAUUGUUGGGGCCUUCGGGCCUUGGUAGCGCAGCUAACGCGUGAAGUUGACCGCCUGGGGGAAGUACGGUCGCAAGAUUAAAACUCAAAGGAAUUGACGGGGACCGCACCAGCGGUGGAUGAUGUGGAUUAAUUCGAUGCAACGCGAAAAACCUUACCUACCCUUGACAUGUCUGGAAUCCCGAAGAGAUUUGGAGUGCUCGCAAGAGAGCCGGAACACAGGUGCUGCAUGGCUGUCGUCAGCUCGUGUCGUGAGAUGUUGGGUUAAGUCCCGCAACGAGCGCAACCCUUGUCAUUAGUUGCUACGAAGGGGCGCUCUAAUGGGGGCUGCCGGUGACAAACCGGAGGAAGGUGGGGAUGACGUCAAGUCCUCAUGGCCCUUAUGGGUAGGGCUUCACACGUCAUACAAUGGUCGGGACGGAGGGUCGCCAGCGCCCCGCGAGGAGCCAAUCCCAGAAACCCGAUCAUGGUCGGAUCAUGAUGUACAGCCUCGGCUGCGUGAAGUCAGGAAUCGCUAAUAAUCACGGAUGGCCUUCAUGGUGAAUACGUUCAGGUCUUGUACACACCGUCACCAUGGGAGUGGGGCUUACCGAAGUAGUUAGCUAACCGUAAGGAGGCGAUUACCACGGUAGGAUUCAUGACUGGGGUGAAGUCGUAACAAGGUAA
rnacentral:rRNA from 1 species